rfam:Cephalotus follicularis DNA, scaffold: scaffold171, isolate: St1.
AAACCAUGAUGAGGACACUCUAAGAGAAUAUCAUUAAACCGUUCCAUACACCAAGAAAAUGAUUCAUUGGGUUUUUUUACGAAACUGGAGAAUGUCGUUCCUAAGUUU